rnacentral:misc_RNA from 1 species
AGUUGCUAUUAGCAACAACAAUGCUAAACAUGCUUUAAGAAGAGCUUUAUGCAUAUUGAUUGAUUAAAUUGUUCAGUGAAAUUUCCUAUUUAUGAUGUUUAUACUUAGGGAUAUGUACAUUACAAGUAUCAUACCAUGACAGCAAUAAGAACAUGAUAGUCAUGAAUAUUUGAGAAGCUGAGUUACUCUACUUGUUUAACUAGCAUACUCUUAAUGGUAAUUUUGUUACCUUCUUUGCACUUACUAUGCUUCAUUUCUUUGCCAGAACAACUCCGCUAAUUCUUUUUUAUGUUUUCUC